rnacentral:rRNA from 1 species
UGGGGAAUUUUGCACAAUGGGGGGAACCUUGAUGCAGCGACGCCGCGUGAGGGAUGGAGGCCUUCGGGUUGUGAACCUCUUUCGCUCGUGUGCAAGCCGCUAUUUGGGUAGUGGUGAGUGUAGCGGGUAAAGAAGCGCCGGCUAACUACGUGCCAGCAGCCGCGGUAAUACGUAGGGCGCGAGCGUUGUCCGGAUUUAUUGGGCGUAAAGGGCUUGUAGGCGGUUUGUCGCGCCUGUCGUGUAAUCCUCUGGCUUAACUGGGGGUGUGCGGUGGGUACGGGCAGGCUUGAGUGCGGUAGGGGAGAUUGGAAUUCCUGGUGUAGCGGUGGAAUGCGCAGAUAUCAGGAGGAACACCGGUGCGAAGGCGGGUCUCUGGGCCGUUACUGACGCUGAGGAGCGAAAGCGUGGGGAGCGAACAGG